rnacentral:rRNA from 1 species
UCGAACGAAUCUGAGUCCUUCGGGACUCAGGUUAGUGGCGCACGGGUGCGUAACGCGUAUGCAACCUACCUUCCACUGGGGGAUAGCCCUCCGAAAGGGGGAUUAAUACCGCAUGACACAAUGAAGUGGCAUCACUUUAUUGUCAAAGCUGAGGCGGUGGAAGAUGGGCAUGCGUGCCAUUAGCUAGUUGGCGGGGUAGAGGCCCACCAAGGCGACGAUGGCUAGGGGUUCUGAGAGGAUGGUCCCCCACACUGGUACUGAGACACGGACCAGACUCCUACGGGAGGCAGCAGUAGGGAAUAUUGGGCAAUGGCCGAGAGGCUGACCCAGCCAUGCCGCGUGCAGGAAGAAGGCCUUCUGGGUUGUAAACUGCUUUUAUAUAGGAAGAAAACGCCCCUGCGGGGGUAACUGACGGUACUAUAUGAAUAAGCACCGGCUAACUCCGUGCCAGCAGCCGCGGUAAUACGGAGGGUGCGAGCGUUGUCCGGAUUUAUUGGGUUUAAAGGGUGCGUAGGCGGCCCGUUAAGUCAGCGGUGAAAUCCCACGGCUCAACCGUGGAACUGCCGUUGAUACUGGCGGGCUUGAGUUCGGUCGAGGCGGGCGGAACUGGUGGUGUAGCGGUGAAAUGCUUAGAUACCACCAAGAACCCCGAUUGCGUAGGCAGCUCGCUGGGCCGAAACUGACGCUGAGGCACGAAAGCG